AAAAGCUUGAUGACAACUAUAAAGAUAAAUCCUCGAAACCCUAAAAAGAUAAAUCCUCCACAACUAUAAAUACAAUUCUAUGUUUGCUUUCACCCUAAACCAAGUAGAAAAAAAAAACUCUCUUCUCUUCGAUUCACCACUUUUAGGAUUGGCGUUGGAGGAGGUAAAGUUUUUGCAGAAGCAAAGAGAGAAAUUUAGUGAUCCCAGCUUUAUCUUCAACGGGAGAAAGCUGAAGCAGAGAAAGAGGAACUUAUGUUGCAAGAUACUUUUGCUCAAGAGACUGUUUUUUUUUUUGAAGAUCCCAACAUGGUAAAGUAUAUUGAACGAGAAUUGGCUAAGAAGAGGGGAAAAAUAUUGAUGAUGCGGAGGAGGUUGAGAAUGAGUUGAAGCGAGUGGAAGAUGAGUUAUAUAAGAUACCUGAUCAUCUAAAGUAAGUUGCUUUGCCUAAUGGUUUGAAUAUUGUUAAAUACACUUUCUUUGAUUUCAUGAUAAACCUUUAAGUGUUUUAAUGACUAAUGGUUUGUUAUUUGGGUGGAUGGUAUAGAUCUGCCAAGAAGCUUUUGUAAGAGUAGAGGCUUAUAUAUGGGUCGGCCAAAAUCAGAAUUUAGUAUUUUAUUUUCCUGUUUGUGUAGUGGUUUCUUGGAGAGGUAUAUUAUUAUGAUUUUUUCUCUCUUUGAAGAUAAAGUUGGGAUCCUUAUUGUACAGGGCUAGCAUUUUAGGAUAUUGGUCACUAAUUACCUUGGUUUAGACGGCUUAAACCAUCCUCUCUGCGAGGAAACUCGAGAAGCUGAUCGAUUCUAUUGAAGUUACUCCUGCUGAGUUAGCUGAAGAGCUGAUGCAAGACGAUGACACUGACAUUGUUCUUCGUGGAGUAGUUAGUUUUGUUGAGAAGAGGAAGGUCGAGCGAAGCAAAACCAAGGAGCUGGAGGAUGCUAUGUGUAAAGUAAUUGAUGAUGACUACGUAGUUGAUGAUGACGAAAUACAAAAUGGUUCUAGGAAUGGUUCGAAUAAGAAGAAAGGGAAAGGAAGAGGCAGAGGGAAAGGGAAAGGAAAAGGAAAUUAAGAA